AACAUCGCGCACCUGCGGGAACCUGCGGAGGGAUCAUUCACAAUAAGAGUGUUCUAUGGCACUCUUUCAAAAAAUCCAUACCCACCUUGUGUGCAAUGUAAGAAAAAGUGUUCUAACAGGAGUCAAGGAAGGGAGAGUGGUCUCUGGCCAUUCUUUUUUCCCCUCUUGUGGGAGGCUUUUCUAAUUUACAUAAACACCUUUCUAUAUAGUUCCUAUAGUCUGAAGUUUGGUAGAAUUUAC
rnacentral:misc_RNA from 1 species